UGGCUUAAUUCGAUGCAACGCGAAGAACCUUACCAGGCCUUGACAUGCACUGGACCGACGCUGAAAGGUGUCCUUCUCGCAAGAGACCGGUGCACAGGUGCUGCAUGGCUGUCGUCAGCUCGUGUCGUGAGAUGUUGCGUUAAGUCGCGCAACGAGCGCAACCCCUGUCCUUAGUUGCCAUCAUUAAGUUGGGCACUCUAGGGAGACAAACCCUCUCUGAGGGUG
rnacentral:rRNA from 1 species